CGUGUAGGCGGCUUGGUAAGUCGGAUGUGAAAGUCCCGGGCUCAACCCGGGAAGUGCAUUCGAAACUGCUAGGCUUGAGUAAGAGAGAGGAAAGUGGAAUUCCUGGUGUAGAGGUGAAAUUCGUAGAUAUCAGGAGGAACACCGGUGGCGAAGGCGACUUUCUGGCUCUAUACUGACGCUGAGACGCGAAAGCGUGGGUAGCAAACAGGAUUAGAUACCUUGGUAGUCC
rnacentral:rRNA from 1 species